rnacentral:rRNA from 1 species
GAUGAACGCUAGCGGCAGGCUUAAUACAUGCAAGUCGAGGGUAGCAAGAUUGUAGCAAUACAAUUGUUGACGACCGGCAAACGGGUGCGGAACACGUACACAACCUUCCUACAAGUGGGGAAUAGCCCAGAGAAAUUUGGAUUAAUACCCCGUAACAUAGCGAUGUGGCAUCACAUUGCUAUUAUAGCUUCGGCGCUUGUUGAUGGGUGUGCGGCUGAUUAGAUAGUUGGCGGGGUAACGGCCCACCAAGUCUACGAUCAGUAGCUGAUGUGAGAGCAUGAUCAGCCACACGGGCACUGAGACACGGGCCCGACUCCUACGGGAGGCAGCAGUAAGGAAUAUUGGACAAUGGACGCAAGUCUGAUCCAGCCAUGCCGCGUGAAGGAUUAAGGUCCUCUGGAUUGUAAACUUCUUUUAUAAGGGACGAAAAAAGGUCUUUCUAGAUCGUCUGACGGUACCUUAUGAAUAAGCACCGGCUAACUCCGUGCCAGCCGCCGCGGUAAUAC